rnacentral:rRNA from 1 species
UACGAGGGGGCAAAUGUUGUUCGGAAUCACUGGGCGUAAAGGGAGCGUAGGCGGGUUCUUAAGUAAGGUGUUUAAUCCCGGGCCCAACCCCGGACCGGCACUUUAAACUGGGAAUCUUGAAUAGUGGAGAGGUCGGUGGAAUUGGGGUGUAGCGGUGGAAUGCGUAGAGAUCCCCAAGAACACUAGUUGCGAAGGCGGCCGACUGGACACAUAUUGACGCUGAGGCUCGAAAGCAUGGGGAGCAAACAGG